GUCACAGUGGGUUCUCUGUUUACAGUGUGUAUUCCUGCUGGUCUCAGUGGGCUCUCUGUUUACAGUGUGUUUUCCUGCUGGUCUCAGUGGGCUCUCUGUUUACAGUGUGUAUUCCUGCUGGUCUCAGUGGGCUCUCUGUUUACAGUGUAUGUUCCUGCUGGUCUCAGUGGGCUCUCUGUUUACAGUGUGUUUUCCUGCUGGUCUCAGUGGGCUCUCUGUUUACAGUGUGUAUUCCUGCUGGUCACAGUGGGCUCUCUGAUUACACUGUAUUCCUGCUGGUCCUGGGCUCACAUGGAUACUUCUCUUUGGAUGAAAAGCUAGAUGAUCUGUAUUAUAUUGUUCAGAGAGACGUGUUGGUGGUCAGAUGGUGAAAUAGAAACAAUCUAGAUCAUUGUGUUAAGUAGUGCAUAGCAGGGAUCUAUGAUAAUAGUGUUUAAUGGUUGUCAGCUCCAGUGUGGUUCUUGACAGGCUGUCAAUCUGGAACCAUGAUCUGUCUGCUUGAUAAGCCAUCUGCAACAAAGGAAGCAGCAUGCCUUUAAUGUGUGUGUGUGUGUCCAUGCUUUAAAAUGUAGUGUCUGCCUCAGCUCUCUGAAUUGAAUGCUAUGAGGGUCUAGCUAGAUUUUAGCUGGGUCAUCCAUCCUCCGCUAUGAAGGUCUAACCACAAUACAUUGUGUACACACACACACACACACACACACACACACACAUACACUCUCUGCCUCAGUCACUGUCUGGAUGCAUCCCAGAUACCAACCAGCCUGGUGUUGUGGUCAACCUGUAGCCUCUAUACCAGAUACCAACCAGCCCGGUGUUGGGGUCAACCUGUAGCCUCUAUACCAGAUACCAACCAGCCCGGGCCCUCUCUGAAAGGGCAUCCUGUUCCCCUAUGGGCCCUGGUCAAAAGUAAAGCCCUGCACAGGCAUUGAUUUAAGCCCUACCUCAUGCCUGUGACGUUCAGGCCCUACCCCGAUUUGCUUUUGUCAAAUUUAAGGCACCGUGAGUAAAUCUCCUCUCUGUCACUUGAUCUCUGCGCAGGCAGAUCGCGCUGCAUGGUUUCUGCUCAUGGGGGUUUGGAGUCUGAGUAACCAUAGCAACAGCUCCACUUGGGCUGCUCAAUGAAGAGACAUGAGAUCAGUUAGCUACUUUUCAUCGCUCUAAACUCAGACAGAUUUGUACCUUGUCAGCUCGGGGGUUUGGACUUGCAACCUUCCGGUUACUAGUCCAACGCUCUAACCACUAGGCUACCCUGACGGCUGCGUGGUCCGAUGGUGUUUAUAUUUGCGUACUGUUUGUUGAGGUGAACCUGGUACCUUCAGGCGUUUGGAAAUUGCUUCCAAGGAUGAACCAGACUUGUGGAGGUUUACAAUGUAUUUUUCUGAGGUCUUGGCUGAUUUCCCCAUGAUGUCAAGCAAAAAGGCACUGAGUUUGAAGGUAGGCCUUGAAAUACACCCACAGGUACACCUCCAAUUG
ensembl:lncRNA